GUUAGGAAUAUUGGACAAUGGGCGCAAGCCUGAUCCAGCCAUGCCGCGUGAGUGAUGAAGGCCUUCGGGUUGUAAAGCUCUUUAGCCGAUGAUUAUAAUGACUGUAGUCGGAAAAUAAGCCCCGGCUAACUUCGUGCCAGCAGCCGCGGUAAUACGAAGGGGGCGAGCGUUAUUCGGAAUCACUGGGCGUAAAGGGUGCGUAGGCGGCUUUGCAAGUUGGGAGUGAAAGCCCAGGGCUCAACCCUGGAAUUGCUCUCAAAACUGCAAGGCUCGAAUUCGGGAGAGGAUAGCGGAAUUGGCAGUGUAGCAGUGAAAUGCGUAGAUAUUGACAGGAACACCAGUGGCGUAAGCGGCUAUCUGGACCGAUAUUGACGCUGAGGCACGAAAGCGUGGGGAUCAAACAGGAUUAGAUACCCGUGUAGUCC
rnacentral:rRNA from 1 species